GCCAAUGCUAGCCCCAAACACAACCAACACUAAUACCAAGCCAACACACACUAAACCAUUUACCUACACAAAGUAUAGGCGAUAGAAAUUUUAAUCUGGCGCUAUAGACACAGUACCGUAAGGGAAAGAUAGAAAACCACCCAAGCACAAAACAGCAAGGACUAACCCCUGUACCUUUCGCAUAAUGAAUUAGCUAGAAACAAUUUCACAAAGAGGACUACAAGCCAAAUCCCCCGAAACCAGACGAGCUACCCAAAAACAGCUAAAAGAGCGCACCCAUCUAUGUGGCAAAAUAGUGGGAAGAUUUUUGAGUAGAGGUGAAAAGCCUACCGAGCCUGGUGAUAGCUGGUUAUCCAAGACAGAAUCUUAGUUCAACCUUAAGCUUACCUAUAGAACUACCUAAUCCCCCUGUAAGCUUAACUGCUAGUCUAAAGAGGGACAGCUCUUUAGACACUAGGAAAAAACCUUACGGAGAGAGUAAAACCCCCAAUCACCAUAGUUGGCUUAAAAGCAGCCAUCAAUUAAGAAAGCGUUCAAGCUCAACACUAACCACCACAAAAAUACCAAACACAUAACUGAACUCCUCACACCACAUUGGAUUAAUCUAUCACCAUAUAGAAGCAAUAAUGCUAGUAUAAGUAACAUGAAUAUUUUCUCCACCGCAUAAGCCUAAAUCGGACCGAAAGUCUCACCGAUAUCUAACAGCCAGGCAUAACAAACACAAACAAGCCCAUGCCACCUUCACUGUUAACCCAACACAGGCAUGCCUCAAGGAAAGGUUAAAAAAAGUAAAAGGAACUCGGCAAACUCAAACCCCGCCUGUUUACCAAAAACAUCACCUCUAGCAUUACUAGUAUUAGAGGCACUGCCUGCCCAGUGACACACGUUUAACGGCCGCGGUACCCUGAC
rnacentral:rRNA from 1 species